rnacentral:lncRNA from 1 species
GCCUUAUAUAAGUGCUGUAUGAGUGUUUGUCAUUAUUUUGUGACUAGUGUACAGGUCCUGAAGUUUUUUGGGUGGGGGUGACUAUUUGAAGUGUUCACUUCAAAAAUAGCUCUAAAAGUAUUUAGCCAGGCAGAAUAAAAGUCAGUUUCAGUUAUGGAAUGUUUUCUCUAUCUUUUCAGUGCUUGCUUUUGCCAUGACUUCCUCUCAGGGUUGAAUAACUGAAGUUCUUUGACAUCAUAGGCCUGUUUUAGUGAAGUACGUCAUCCUCCCAAGUGAUUUGGUUAGUAUUUUUCUCCUUGAAAACCCAUCUGGUCACUUUUUCAGUUGCGAUUUUUCUUUAAAGCUCUGG